UACGUAGGGUGCGAGCGUUGUCCGGAAUUAUUGGGCGUAAAGAGCUUGUAGGCGGUUUGUCGCGUCUGCUGUGAAAUCUCAAGGCUCAACCUUGAGCUUGCAGUAGGUACGGGCAGACUAGAGUGUGGUAGGGGGAGACUGGAAUUCCUGGUGUAGCGGUGAAAUGCGCAGAUAUCAGGAGGAACACCGAUGGCGAAGGCAAUCCCCUGGGCCUGCACUGACGCUCAUGCACGAAAGCGUGGGGGAGCAAACAGG
rnacentral:rRNA from 1 species